AGGCCACCCACGGUAUCCGGCCUCUCGUCUCUCCCCUCGCCCUCCACACUAAACUCCUCCCCCGUGCGGCGCACAUCUACCCUUGACCACCCCGAGGCGCACCACCCCGGCUGCGACCUGAGAAGAUGGGCAGGGCCAAGAAGGCCAAGGCCAAGGCCCAGGAGGAACACCUGUGCCCCCGAUGCAAGCUCAACCUCGUGGAGGCCAAGACGACGCUUUCACACGACGAUAGCGCCUGCGCGGCCCACAAGCAUAAGAUGGAGAAAGAGGCCGCCCGCAAAAAGAAAAGGCCGCGUCCAAGAAGCCGGCGAACAAGAACUAAUCGGCGUCGACAACCUAUCCUCCUCCCCCUCCUCCCCCCUCCCCUGGUCGCGUUCCGGGAUGUGACUGAUUCGGUUCCUGGAUGUUCUGUACCCUUAAACUCCCGUUAAGGAGACGUAUUUUACAGACACUGCUAUGUUGUGGUUGGUCUAUGUUGGUCUAUGUUGUGGUUGACUUGUUGUUUGUGUUCGUGUUCUUGCCCCAAUCGUACUCGUGCUCUUGUAUUAUUUUGUUUGUUACGUGAUUCUGUCUAGUCUUCGUGCUCAACCUCCGAAUCUUCCCCCAAUUGAGUGCCUCGACAUGGAGGAGCAGAGCAGGUGCAACAGAUUCAGUUUCGCCUGCGCGGCGUGCCGCAGAUUUCUCCACGGCGUCGUCACGGCGUGUUCUGGGGCUGAUAUUGCAGAUGGUUCACAGAUUUCUGAGCCUCCACUACUCAACCGACCCCAAGGGCAUGCAGUUCUUCGUCGGAAGUUCAGCAGGCGGUGGCAUGGGUGACCCCGUUUGCAAUUUUAUUUCCACCAUGCCUUGGAAAUUUAGGGCCUUUGUUAAUUGCUGUGUGUGGCAAAGGCGUUGCCGAAUCAUCCAGCGCUCAGGACAAGACUCCACCAAAUCAUCAGGAUCUCCCGGAAGAACAUGAGGUGGCUCCAGGAGUGGUUGAGCACACCUUAUUCGGGUGUUGUGUUCGUGCAGCAGAACAUUUGCUAGCCUGUUAGGCCGCUGCCGGACGGGGAGGUGCCAGCGGCGACUGCCUCUAGUGCGGACGCACAAAUCUGUUCGGCGGAGGCAGGGACUGCACAUAAGGCUCAAGCAUCUGAACACUCCAUAGAACAGAUUGACCCCAAGACUCCUGGGUGGACGCGAAGGAUCAGGAUUGGUGCUGCUGCACUAGGAGAAACCAGUCUGCGGGUUUGCUGAGGAUCCUGGUGAUCCCCGUGAUUUUGCUUUUGAUUGGCACCAUCUGCUGGUUGGUUAUUUAUUUUCUCAGUGCAAUCUGGGUGCUUGCGGUGGGGCAUAGCAUACAUCUGCGUCAGGUCAGAACUGUCGUUUGCAAACUUAAAAGGUUAGAACACCCAGAUUAAAUGGAUCAUCGAAUAUGGCAUAUCUGACGUGAAACCUAAAUAUUACCAUGCAAUGAGUGUGACGUGACGCUCGUCCCAAUGUCAGUUUCCAUAGUUAUCAUCCUUCUGAUGCUUGUCUGAUCGAAGAUGCUUAUCUGAGUAAGGACAUCAUGCUGCUUGUUGAACAUCCCUAACUCAAUGUUGUCGAGAAAGAAUAUCUGAAAACAUAAAUAAAUCUCUCGUCAAUAAAAGCCACAACCCCUGGCGAGAUACAUAACAUGUUAAAGAGACUGACCUGCAAGAACAAAUGACAACCAACUAAAUUAGUGUUUGGGUUGUUGCCAACAUGUCCUUCUUAAGCUGUCGAACUGCCUGGAGGAGGCACUCAAGCACAUACUCGCACCACUUGAAUUGUGAGAUCAUCUCUGUGUUGGCAAGUGCACCCCAGUAGUCUAUGGUAGCAUAAUCAUAUUUCGUUGUUGGCGCCAAAACAUGGCUCGUUACGAAAAUGACGGAUGCAAUCUGGAAACAGUCCAUUUCUUGAAUCUUUAGAAUUCUGCAUACCACUACCAUUUUUCCUCUGAAUAUAGUAUAUACAUUUGGUGAUUCCCUGUAGAUUCUUUGGACAGUAUAAUAAGAAUGUAAAAGUAGCUUAGGCAGACUGUACUUGAUGACCACAAAUAAUCCAAAAAGAGCAACAAGAAUGUAAAAGUUAUGCACUUACAUCGACCAAAAUUUUGCCUUGAAUGCAUUUGGAAGGGGAAUUUUUGUUUUCUACCAUGGACGGGACCAAAGUAAGGCAGUACAAAAGUAAAUAAGUGCUCUGAAAAUUGGUUUUGCUCUUAUGUAACUUCAGUUUGGUAAACUAGAUCAUCCAGUGUGGUAUCUUUUUAGUCCCAGUCCCAGGUCUCGGGUCAUAGUUCAGUAAACUAGAAAUACAGCUUGGGUUAUUUACUUACUGCCAAGUUGAUUUGUAGGGAGUCAGCCCAUUGAUUUCCAAAACCUUGAAUCUUUGAUGUGUAGAUGGUUGGAUGGUUAUUUUGCUUUUCUAUGAAAUAUGGUACUAGCUGGAAUUCAAUGCUUAUUAUUUUCAUUAUAGAAGAGGGGAGACUAAUCCAUAUACUUGCAGUGGUCAGUUAAGUCAGCAGCCUUCAGUUAAUGCGCACUCUUGCGUUGAAACCACUCGUUUAUCUUCUCAUUUUCUUCAUCAAAAUGAAUUCUACUCUGAAACAUAUCAGGCUAUAACUGACGCCAUGGGUGAAGGAAGUAAGGACAGGAAAGAACUUGGGGCUUCAGUAUAUGUUACGUUCCAGUUUAACAUAUACGGUAAUCGCUUUCACGUCAUGAUCGUGCCAACUCCGCGGCACGACUCCAUUGCUCGACUGGUUCGCUUGAAUGAGCUCUUCGGUUCAGGUAAACUGCGGGCUGGAGAGGGCCGCGCACAGCCUGACGGUCCACGCCCAAAUGGUUAAUCAACUGAGCACAGUACUCCACACUCUAUUCGCAAAAAAAAAAAGUACUCCACAUUCGAUCUCAUGUAUUCACAUAGCCCCAUCGGAAUAACACAAAUUAAAGAACCGAACCAUGCGUACAAGAAUGAGAUUGGAGUUUAAAUCUCGUUCUUGAUGAGAAAUCUUACAUCUUUAUUUAAACUAUAAAACUAUACAGAGGCUGGGCAACUCGCUCCCAGGGCGCUCCCUCGAUGGCAAGCUUCGUCGGCCGUUUGAUUUUAGUCAACCCGGUCUUUUUUUCGUUCUUGUCCGUUCGAUGGUCGCUACGUUUUGAAUUGUGCGUUUUCACCGGACGGUAGAUCUUGGCCAACGGAUGACCUGUGGGCUCGGGCUGAAUUUCAUUGGCUGGGUGCCAGCUUAUUGGGUGCGCGGGGCAGCCUGUCCUGCCGCGCCGCGUGCAUGCGAGGAAGCCCGGGUCGCUGGCGCUGUGCGCUGCUUCUCGCGUUUUGCGCCUGCGAUUGUGCUGCCCUCAUGACGGGUGGGCCAGUGCUGGCCCUGGUCCCGCUCAUCAGCUGCGGUGACUACAUGUCUCAUGUAUAGGAUAUUUCCUGUUACCUCGGUCAACUGCUCCUGGCGCGACGCUUCUCACGCGCUGCCCGCGCCGUGCGUCGUGGGGAGUUUACUGCCUCCUGCGUCAGCUAUAGAGGGGUGGGUCGACGCAUGUUCACCCGGAUUGUGCACACGCGUUUGUACUAGUGCGAUGACGUGUGGGCCGCCGCUGCUCUGGUCCCGCUCGUUGGCUGCUACUACUGUGAGGGUGCUUGGAUCCAAGUGACUUAUUUUAGUCUGACUAAAAAUAGUCUCUUGAAGAGGCUAAAAUUCCAAGCACCCCUGACUAAAGAGGGCCUAAAACUAGUCUCGAGACUAAAAUGUUUUAGUCAGUGGUACCCCUACUAAAAUGUGGAUUACUCCUCUCUCUCCUCAUUUAAUUCAUCUUCUUUAACACAUGCGAGUUUUGGAUUAGAGGGUUUGAAGGAUAAUAAAUGCUCAUUAACUUGAUUUUAGUCUCUUUAGUAUUUGAAUCCAAGCAUGGAUGAGGCUAGCAAGUUUUAGUCUCACUACUUUUAGUCUUUUAGUCUCACUACUUUUAGUCAUGAGACUAAAACAUAUCCAAGCACCCUCUGUGUCUAGUGCGCGUGUACACCUUUCCUGUGCGCGGUGUUGCGUCUCGUCUGCUUUGGACUUUGGAGAGAGAGGAUGGACUGCAGCUGCCCGAUGCAUGUGCUUGUGGGGCCUGGCUGACCGAUGCAUCGUGCGUGCCUCACCUCCAUCUGCAGUUGGAGAGAGAGAUGGAUUGGUGCCUACGGCGCGCUGGUCGACGCGGCGGCCGCCGCAGUCCGCGAGCCCGGGUGCACGGUGGCGCUCACGGACCUCCACCGCUGCCUCGAUGCCUUCAGCGAGUCCUGCGACCAAGCCGAGGGCCUCGUCCAGGCGGCCGCUGCCGGCCUCGGCCCCGCCGCCACCUGCCACGACGAGCUGUGUCGCGCCGUGCGUGCGGUCGACAAGGAUCUCUGGGCCGCCGAGGAGAACGAGAUGGAAGACGAGAAGCAUCGCCCUCCGACCACGCCGCUGGCGGCCGAGGACAAAUAGCCCAAUCGAUCUACCUCUUCUCCUGUUGAGGUGAUGUUCAUCAUUCUUGUUUUUUCCAUGUGAUGUUCAUCGUUCCUUUUAUUUUCUUGCUUGAUGUGCUAAUCGUGUUAGUCAUCUAGAAGAUGAAUGAAACUGUGACGGGAAAGGACAGAUGGACUGGGAUAUAUUGCCUCGCCGUGCCGCAUGGUGGCCGAGAUGCGGUAGCCCCAUGCUCUGUUCCGAUGGGCCUCCUCUGCUUGAUGUUGCCGCUGGUUGAGUUUGGUACGGUUUCCUGUUGUCGCUUGCGUCGAGCCUUGGGUCCGUCUCUCCUUCUCAUUGAGCCUACUUCUCCUGUUGCUGGCGCUUCUUCUUCUCGUCGGUCCUGCUGCUUACCCAACCUUUUGCUUGCUGCCUCGGGUUGCACGAUCUCUGCUGUAGCUGUGUCGUUCGACUCAUCAAGGUUGCACGAUCUCUGCUGUAGCUGUGUCGUUCGACUCAUCAAGGUUUUCUUCUUUCCUUUCUACUACAUGUGUGCGUGUUUUACUUUCAGUAUCUUCUGUGUCAUGCUGUCUGCCUUGGUGAUCUUUUAAAUAUCUGUAAAUGUUCGUGUAAAUGUUGGACUGUCCGGAUAUGGUUGCGGCUUGGGCCGUUCUGUUGCUUCUGUGACCGGCGAGUGUUCAUUGCAUGCCUGUGUGUCGUUGUGCUCUGAUCGGUUGUUUUUUGUGUAUUUCGCAGGUUGCACGAUCUCUGCUGUAGCUGUGUCGUUCGACUCAUCAAGGUUGCACGAUCUCUGCUGUAGCUGUGUCGUUCGACUCAUCAAGAUAUACCACGAAGGGAAGAUCUGCCUCACUGUGCACUUCAGGCGCGCGCACACUAGCGAUGGUACAGGAUUGGCUUCAUGGUGGAAUCAGGCUCUAGAAUCGCUAAGGUUGCUCCUUCUCUGUUUCUUUGGUCAAGGUUUGUCCUUGUCAUUCUUUUCUAAGCACUGCACUUUUCUACCCUAUUUGUUUACUGCUUAUUGUCGUGUUAAUUCCUCUGUUCCUGAUUUUUCCAGGUGUCGUGUUUGUGUGUUUGUUUUUGUAGUGCUGCUUAUAUGUGUGACUACCGUAUGAUCGUAUAUAUCUGCUGAAAAGUAAAACAAUUUUUCCUUGGCACGAUACAUAAUUUGUAAUGAGAUGGUAGUACAUCAGUGUAUUUGGUGAAACUCGAGCUUCGACGAAUAUGAAGGUCUUUAUGUUGGCAUACACUCCUUUAUUCCAAAUGGUGCUGAUAUAGAAACACCAUCAGGGAUUCCAUGUGUACCAUGUAUGUCCAUAAAAACAGCAUCGAUAUAUCAGCAUACUAAUGUGCUGAUCUAAAAACGUUUUUUUCUAAGUGACGGUUUCGAGUCGGCAAAAAUACAGUGUAUGUCCAUAAUGUGAUGGCAACUGAGUAGCCAUGUGUACAGGGAAGGCAUCAGUCUAUCAAAAAACACCAGCGAUUUUAUCCUAAUUGUUAAUGAAAUUGUUGUUUAUUGCUUUUACCAAUUGCACCUGCUUACAGAUAUCCUUAAGUUUACUACCUCCUGUCCUUAGAAGCAUCAGUUUGUCCUUAUUUUUUAUAUGCUCUGUUUCAUCUAAAUUGCAUACAUCCAUUUCCAACAGAACUAGGGGAGUCCGUAUAAAUUAGAUAUGUUCCUUUUCUUCUCAACAGGUGUCUAUUAUGAGUACUGCAAUUUAGACAUGAUUAAGAAUGGUACUGGAGUUUGCUUAUCUAUCAUGAUUUUUUUAGUUCUGCUUAGUUGAUGGCCUCACGUAAUGUGCCUCCAUGGAUGGAGCUUUCCUUGUCUACCUUGUUGAAUGUUCUACCAUGGAUGGAGCUUUUGCUGAUACCCUUUCUGAAUAGCUGAUAUUUAUUGUACCUCAUCUUUGCUCCUGGUUGGUGGGGAACCCCUCCUGGUCGAGCCCCUAGCCCCCCACCUUGGCAGCUGCCUGGAGAGGAGGAUAGCCCGAGGACAACUCCCAAUGUGCCGAGGAGAUGGGAACAUGAUAAGCCGACACCUAAUAAGGAUCAGGAGAACAACAGAUAUGCUAAGAGACAACCUUUUGGGGUUAAGGAUAUAAACAACAACAGGGCUUAUGAGGCCGAAGAGAGCUCGAGUGGCGUCUUUUGGUUCUUGAUGACCUGCACGUUCCUGGUGGAGUAGAGCAAAAUAAUUUGAAGGCUUUAAAGCUACUGCACUUCAUGUAUUUAGGAUCAAUUCUUUGUUUUAGUUUGAAAUAUUCCCCAUUUCCUCCUAUUUGAUUGAUUCAUCUGAUGGACAUUUUGUCAGGCAAAUAAACAAAAGGCAUAUGUAUUGUUACGAGUGAAGCCAUCCAUACUCCCAUGUGGAAUUCAAGAAAUAGAGAAAUGUUAUUGUUUUUGUACUAAUUGUUUGCUUGGCCAAAUGUACUGUAAAUGAUUUAUUAUUAUUCAAGGUAUAGAGAAAUGUUGUUCUUCAUUGUAGUGGAUGAUAUCUAUCCCAAUUAUUGAGGUGAUGGAAGUACUACUGAGGAGUUUUGUCUUUGACUGAAUGAAGUUGUCAAGGAAGAA